GAUGAACGCUGGCGGCGUGCUUAACACAUGCAAGUCGAACGAAGCGUCCCGCCCGAUGAAAUGGAGAGCUUGCUCAAAGUAGAUUCAAUUGGGACGACUUAGUGGCGGACGGGUGAGUAACGCGUGGGUAACCUGCCUUACACAGGGGGACAACAGUUAGAAAUGACUGCUAAUACCGCAUAAGCGCACAGUACUGCAUGGUACAGUGUGAAAAACUCCGGUGGUACAAGAUGGACCCGCGUCUGAUUAGCCAGUUGGCAGGGUAACGGCCUACCAAAGCAACGAUCAGUAGCCGACUUGAGAGAGUGAUCGGCCACAUUGGGACUGAGACACGGCCCAGACUCC
rnacentral:rRNA from 1 species